AAUACGGAUCCAGGGGGGCAAUCUUUCCCAUGUGCGAAGUACAGUGACCAAAAUACAACUAUUAAAUGUGGAUGAAUACAGUGAGAUGUGCACAACUAACUAAUGAAGGGAAAGAUUGCUCCUCUAUGGAUCAACAAAUAUAAUAAGGGAGAUAAGGCUGUAGAAAAUAUACUAAGGGUAUAAAGCAAUAAAGGUGAUAUGAGCAAGAGAAAAUAGAAGAGAAUACUGCUAUAGAUCAGUGAGAGUAAUUGGAUAUGUAUACAAAAGACAAAAACAUUCAAGACUAUUAGACCGAGAGAUGCAAUGUAU